UCGGCGUCGCAGCCCUUCCGAUGGCGCUGUCACACAGUCCCUCCUGUGUGAUGGAGGAUGCCACCCACCUGGCGCUCCAGGUGGGCGCCCCAGAGUCUCCCCAAGUCCCUGCAGGCCCGAGGAGGAAAAUCCCUGCCCCGACCUGCUGACAAGGGGACUCCUACUCCUUCCGUGCUUGGGGAGUGUCGGAGGGAAAGUUCUGGCUCCUCCCCAAAGAAAGGGGAGCCGCUCUUCUGGCGAUAAGAGGAGACGUCUGUUGGCCCACUCACCCGUGGGUGGGGACGCCGAGCCACAGAGGCCCCAAACAAGUCCCACCCUGUCUGCCGUGCGCUGCCCGCCCGUGGCUGGCGAGCAGCGCAGGGUUCUUCUUUUGGUUUCCUGUUCCCGUGUGGGAUUCCAGAGCCCCGGUAUUAACUGACAGAGCCGGGAAGGAGAGCACCGGGAUUCUUAAAGGCAGCAGCCCAUGCAUUUCAGAGCAGUAGUGUCCUUGAAACCAGCGCUCUGGAAUCUUCCCCUUGUUGAAUGCCAAGAGCCACAGCAAGGCCUGGGCCAAAGAGGACCGCCAUCCCAGCCGGCAGGUCCUGGCUGCGCACGCUGGCUUCCUGGGGGCUGCACGCUCUCCCACCUGCCUGGGAACAGAGCAAAGAUUCAAGCCAGUGUUAAUACUUUCAAGCGAUAAAACUUCAUCGAGGAGGCAACUGAGAAGCGGAAAAGGCAACCCCAAAUGAACGCAUGCCGCUACAGGAAAGAUGGAAUCACAGCCCUCUUCCUCUAAGAUUCCGCUGAACGUGUUAACACCUUCAACGUAAGAUCACCCCAAUCUCAUCUUCCUCUGGACCCCACAGUCCCUCGAUUGCUCAGAACAGGCUCACUGUUCAUUAGCGGGCAGGCCUACGUUGAAGAGCUUUUUCUGAUGUUAACUGGGUCCCUGCUUCUCCUCCCCUCAGGAGUCCAUCUGCACUGCUGAUGCUCUCAGAAGCUGAGCCACACACAGGGCCAGGUCAGAGCCUGUGACACGUUCCCUGAAAACAGACAAAGUCCCCUGACCCACAGCACGGCCUCCCCUUCCGGGACUCUGCACAAGUUAUCCCCUUCCCAGUGACCUUCCUCUCUCUCUGAGAUUACUGUCUUAAUCAUUUUUUUUAACCUGUUUGCUGUUUGUCAUAUGCCACAAGACUGUAACCUCAAGAAGGCAGGGCACGUCUGUCUCAUUCACCACUGAGCCCCCAGCGCUCACAACAGUGCCUUGUACAGAGAAGAAGCUCUGUAAAUAUCUGCUGGGUAAAUGGACACACGAUCUCCUUACUUAUCCUUCAAACCUCCGAUUUCCCUCCAGGAUGCUCUCUCUGCACACCCGCCACCCUGCUCGCCCAGGCCGCCCCCAUAAGCUCGCACAGGCCCUGGGCGGCCUCCCCGUCGGCCACCGCCCUGGGCUGUGACCACUUCCUUGCCUAGCUGUCUCUUGCACCGAACUAGAAGCAUCCUGAGGGUAGGGGCCAUGCUGCAUUUGCCAUAAUAUCAGCAGCGUCUACCCUGGUGCCCGACGCCAGCAGAUACUUAAAUCGUUAUGUGAAUGAACAUUCCUCUCCGUGGCUCUUCUUCAAUCCCCUUCUCUUCCAAGCGAUUCCUUUGGUUGUAACAGCUGUGAGCGUGUGUGUACAUUUAGACUCUACUUGCUGCAAAAAGGAUCUAACUACACACACACACAUACACAGUAUUCAGAGAGAAUGCCUACACAGAAAGAGGAAACUGAGAAACAGAAGAAGACAGAUUGUUAAAACCAAGCAAAGAAACACUCACAGACUUUUGCUUGAAAAUUCCAAGAGAUCUGACAACGGUUUGAGGCAGGCCCCGCCCACACACGUGUGACUCUGCUGAGGCCCCGCCUCCCUCUCCGUUCCUUCUGCAUUCCGUGUGAAAGCGACCACACACCCCAGAAACAAAUUCUCAACAUCAGUUGUCAUCUUCCUCUCCCUAAUAACAGCCGCACAGUAUGCACAAGGAGUCAGGGAACCAAUGAGCUGUGUCCCUGGGGGCAGGAGGGAGGGGAGAGAUAACUGUCCCCAGGGAACAUCCUUUGCCUCGAAUAGCUGAAAAACUGCAGGGAGGCUGCAGGCAAGAGAAGCAGCAGCCUCCUCUGUGCGUCUCACCGCCCCCCGCCCUCCCCCCCCCCCAAGCCUUCCUUGCGCGUGGUCCUGGGCACGACCGAGAGCACAUACGUGGUGCAGUGAGGGGUGGGCCCAGGCGGGGCAGCCAGCCUAACCUGAGCUGAAUCUGGGCUUCCCCAACCUCAGCAGGGGAAUCUUGGGCAAGAAACCCGAGCACUCAGUCUCCUCACUGGAAAAUGGGGUUAAAAAAAUAAACCGCUCGGUAAGCCUUGAGGACUCAAUGACAAGCGAGCUGCCCAGCACAGUGCCUGGCACGGGGAGGUGCUCAGUAAACACGGGUGUCCUCCCCGCCACUUCCUGGUUUUCAGACGCCCGAAGCCAGUUCUACCAUCACUGCCAGGAAUUCAGCUCGGCGGUGAGACUCUCCCCGCCUCCGUGCCUUCUUCCACCUCUGUGUGCGAGGAGUGGGGAGGGAGAGCAGGGCCCCCCGGCACGCUCAUUCUACGCCCUCACCCCAAAAUCCACAUCGGUUCUGUGCCCUCCAAGCCGCGCCCUCAGCACAACGCUGCCCGUCCAGCAGGACAGCCCGUUGGGCCCCCCAGAAGGUCUGGGCAAGCAGGGCCGUCAGGUGACUGCACACCCCUUCCCUCUGCGCCCACCGAACAGCCCGGGGGCGUGCCUCGCUGUACAAGAAUUUCCCUAAAUAUCAGCUUUACACUUCAGUUGUCAUUCACUGAGUUUGAAGCUCCAUAAAUAGAAAAUCAUGAAAUUUCUUCUGUAAGUUCUAACAGCAGGUCAGGUCAACAGAAACAAACAUAAAUCACGUAUCUGGUUAGCUGUUUUAGCUAGAUAACUCAGUCUCUCAAAGUGAUUCAAAGUCAGCUUUAACUCUGACUAUUGAUCUUUCGAACAAGUGCUGAGAAGGCCUUGCGAUGGGGCUGAAUGACACGCUGUUUACGUUCAGUUACUUCAUCGCACGGAACCUUAUUGAUGUUUUUGUAAACACCUGCAAGGACCUUUCCAGCGGCUGCAGAGAUGUUUCCAGUUUCCAACUCACUUAUUUUUAUUGCCUCCAUUCAUCAGAUAAAGUGAGGAUUUUGAAGCCAAAGAGGGAUCACAGAGAAGACAAAUCCUGAAAACCGUCCAAACAUCUCAGAAACGUACACUCUCCGCAGACCAGAAAGGAUAUUUGUCGUCCCG